rnacentral:rRNA from 1 species
UACGUAGGGUGCAAGCGUUGUCCGGAAUUAUUGGGCGUAAAGAGCUCGUAGGCGGUCUGUCGCGUCUGCUGUGAAAACUCAGGGCUUACCCAGAGCUUGCAGUGGGUACGGGCAGACUGGAGUGCGGUAGGGGGAGAAUGGAAUUCCUGGUGUAGCGGUGGAAUGCGCAGAUAUCAGGAGGAACACCGAUGGCGAAGGCAGUUCUCUGGGCCGUAACUGACGCUGAGGAGCGAAAGCGUGGGGAGCGAACAGG